UUCUCCUGCUAACCUGUCGUGUUGAUUAUUUGGCCAGCCAGAAGAACCUUAAAGAAAAGGGCAGAGGGAGAUUCUCCCUCUUCCCUCGACAGUUUUGGCAUAGUCACCAGGAGCCACACUGGCUGGCAAGUGCCUUCUCUGGCUGGAAGACCUGCCUUCUCCCUGGACUACUGCAGAUGAUGAGAUACAGGAACGCCUGACGAAAGCCGGCAAAAGGACACAAUUGGAAACACUGGUUCUAUUACCAAGGUUGUGACUGGAACAUCAUAUUUGCAAUAUAACCAUACAGCUUUUGAGGAAUGAAGAUUGGACUUUAUGGAAUAAAGCCACGUGGAAAUAUUGGCCUGGUACCUUUAUGUUCCAAGCAGCAUUUACCAGGAUAAGUAAAGAAUGUCACUUAUCUGGCAGGUACAAGGAACCUCGAAAUAUUUUGGGGAAACCUCGGAAGAGAGGAAUUCACCCAAAUCUAUAGGUAUUGCAGGCAAAGUCUGAUGACAAAAUCCUUGGCUUGGCUUUCCCGGCCUCGAGAGACCUUUAAAGUUCAAUCUGAGAUUCCUUAUAAAAAGGUCCAGCAAAGCAGAUUUAAAAGAGCCUAUGUGAUCAACUGCUAUUCUUGCUGUACUUAUGUAAAUAAUUGGGCCAAUUCUAUUGGAACUAGACUUAUUUUGUAAACUAGUUUUAAUUUUGCUAUC